GCCGCCAUGGUGAAAUGGUAGACACGCUGCUCUUAGGAAGCAGUGCUCAAGCAUCUCGGUUCGAAUCCGAGUGGCGGCA
rnacentral:tRNA from 1 species